AUGACCACAUCAUGUUGAAACACCAGUUCCUGUAUGAUCACUGAAGAUAAGCAAUGUCGAGCCUGGUUAUUACCUAGAUGGGCAACUGCUUUGGAAUAACAGGUGCUGUAAG